GAUGAAGAACGUAGCGAAAUGCGAUAAGUAAUGUGAAUUGCAGAAUUCAGUGAAUCAUCGAAUCUUUGAACGCACAUUGCGCCCGCCAGUAUUCUGGCGGGCAUGCCUGUUCGAGCGUCAUUUCAACCAUCAAGCCCCCGGCUUGUGUUGGGGACCUGCGGCUGCCGCAGGCCCUGAAAACCAGUGGCGGGCUCGCUAGUCACUCCGAGCGUAGUAGUUACAUCUCGCUCAGGGCGUGCUGCGGGUUCCGGCCGUUAAUAGCCUUAUUUACCCAAGGUUGACCUCGGAUCAGGUAGGAAGACCCGCUGAACUUAAGCAUAUCAAUAAGCGGAGGA
rnacentral:misc_RNA from 1 species